rnacentral:rRNA from 1 species
AUGAACGCUAGCGACAGGCCUAACACAUGCAAGUCAGGGGCAGCACAAGGAGCAAUCUGAGGUGGCGACCGGCGCACGGGUGAGUAACACGUAUGCAACCUGCCUGUAAGCGGGGAAUAACCCGUUGAAAGACGGACUAAUACCGCAUAAUACUAAAUUACUGCAUGGUAAUUUAUUUAAACAUUUAUGGCUUACAGAUGGGCAUGCGCAUGAUUAGCUAGUUGGAGAGGUAACGGCUCCCCAAGGCAACGAUCAUUAGGGGUUCUGAGAGGAAGGUCCCCCACACUGGUACUGAGACACGGACCAGACUCCUACGGGAGGCAGCAGUGAGGAAUAUUGGUCAAUGGACGAGAGUCUGAACCAGCCAAGUCGCGUGCAGGAAGAAUGUCCUAUUGGAUUGUAAACUGCUUUUGCAGGGGAAUAAAGUGCAUCACGUGUGAUGUUUUGUAUGUACUCUGCGAAUAAGGAUCGGCUAACUCCGUGCCAGCAGCUGC